rnacentral:rRNA from 1 species
CACGUAGGGCGCAAGCGUUGUCCGGAAUUAUUGGGCGUAAAGAGCUCGUAGGCGGUCUGUUACGUCUGCUGUGAAAACCCAGGGCUUAACCCUGGGCUUGCAGUGGAUACGGGCAGACUAGAGGCAGGUAGGGGAGAAUGGAAUUCCCGGUGUAGCGGUGAAAUGCGCAGAUAUCGGGAGGAACACCGGUGGCGAAGGCGGUUCUCUGGGCCUGAC